UACGAAGGGUGCAAGCGUUACUCGGAAUCACUGGGCGUAAAGCGUGCGUAGGCGGUUCGUUAAGUCUGCUGUGAAAGCCCUGGGCUCAACCUGGGAACUGCAGUGGAUACUGGCGGACUAGAGUGUGAUAGAGGAUGGUGGAAUUCCCGGUGUAGCGGUGGAAUGCGUAGAGAUCGGGAAGAACACCAAUGGCGAAGGCAGUCCGCGUGGGCCGUUGCUGACGCUGAGGCGCGACAGCGUGGGGAGCAAACAGGAUUAGAUGACCCCAGUAACCGUCAGACCCAAGACCAGUCUCGCUACCGACGA
rnacentral:rRNA from 1 species